rnacentral:rRNA from 1 species
UACGGAGGGGGCUAGCGUUGUCCGAAGUUACUGGGCGUAAAGCGCGCGUAGGCGGGUUGGUAAGUCCGCUGUGAAAGCCCGGAGCUUAACUCCGGAGGGUCGGUGGAUACUGCCAGUCUUGAAGGUGCUAGGGGGAGAUGGAAUUACCGGUGUAGCGGUGAAAUGCGUAGAUAUCGGUAGGAACACCAGUGGCGAAGGCGGUCUCCUGGGGCAUUCUUGACGCUGAGGCGCAAAAGCUGGGGGAGCAAACGGG